UACGUAGGAGGCAAGCGUUGUCCGGAAUUACUGGGCGUAAAGCGCGUGUAGGUGGUGGGACAAGUCUGCUGUGAAAGCCCCGGGCUCAACCUGGGAAUGGCCGUUGAAACUGGCGAACUGGAGUGUGGCAGAGGGGGGUGGAAUUCCGCGUGUAGCAGUGAAAUGCGUAGAGAUGCGGAGGAACACCGAUGGCGAAGGCAGCCCCCUGGGCUAACACUGACGCUCAGGCACGAAAGCGUGGGGAGCAAACAGG
rnacentral:rRNA from 1 species